UGGGGGAUAUUGCACAAUGGGGGAAACCCUGAUGCAGCGACGCCGCGUGAGUGAAGAAGUAUUUCGGUAUGUAAAGCUCUAUCAGCAGGGAAGAAGGAAGACGGUACCUGACUAAGAAGCCCCGGCUAACUACGUGCCAGCAGCCGCGGUAAUACGUAGGGGGCAAGCGUUAUCCGGAUUUACUGGGUGUAAAGGGAGCGUAGACGGCGAUACAAGUCGGAAGUGAAAUACCCGGGCUCAACCCGGGAACUGCUUUGGAAACUGUAUGGCUUGAGUGCUGGAGAGGUAAGCGGAAUUCCUAGUGUAGCGGUGAAAUGCGUAGAUAUUAGGAGGAACACCAGUGGCGAAGGCGGCUUACUGGACAGUAACUGACGUUGAGGCUCGAAAGCGUGGGGAGCAAACAGG
rnacentral:rRNA from 1 species